CAGGUGCCGGGGCUUCUCCCGUUUUUCUCUUGCGGGAGAAG
rnacentral:tRNA from 1 species